rnacentral:rRNA from 1 species
CUACGGGUUGCUGCAGUAGGGAAUUUUCCACAAUGGGCGAAAGCCUGAUGGAGCAACGCCGCGUGCAGGAUGAAUGCCUUAGGGUUGUAAACUGCUUUUAUAUGUGACGAUUAUGACGGUAGCAUAUGAAUAAGGAUCGGCUAACUCCGUGCCAGCAGCCGCGGUCAUACGGAGGAUCCAAGCGUUAUCCGGAAUUACUGGGCGUAAAGAGUUGCGUAGGUGGCAUGGUAAGUAGAUAGUGAAAGCGUGUGGCUCAACCAUACUUACAUUAUCUAAACUGCUAAGCUAGAAGACGAGAGAGGUAGAUGGAAUUCCCAGUGUAGGAGUGAAAUCCGUAGAUAUUGGGAGGAACACCGAUGGCGUAGGCAGUCUACUGGCUCGUUCUUGACACUAAGGCACGAAAGCGUGGGGAGCAAACGGGAUUAGAUACCCCGGUAGUC